ACUGCUUCUUGCUGCCGCCAUAUGAAGAAGGACGUGUUCGCUUCCCCUUCCUCCAUGAUUGUAAGUUUCCUGAGACCUCGCCAGCCAUGCUGAACUGAAUACAACAUGUUUAAGACCACAGAACAUCUGCAUAGAUAAAUCCCAGUUGACAGAACUGUUUAAGAGAUGAAUGUGCUCCCAACUGGGAUUACGGUCACAGUAUUUAUCUAUAUCAACUUUCAUGUUACUUCACUGGCAAAUUGGGAGCUUUGGAGGAUAAGAGGAUAACAUAUGAUCGGGAGAAUCUAUUUUCUGCUCUGAAGGCUGUAAAUUUCGUUGAAUGAUGGAUGCAAAGAUGGAAGACAGAUGGAUAGAGGAAAAGACAGAAUCAGAUACUGGAUGAGUUAGUACUGCUGCCUGUGCUUCAGAGCUGUCUUAUUACCACAAGGCCGGCAAGCAUCAAUGUCCCCACAUCCCCCUCUGCCUCCCCCUGAAAUGUACCGAUUUAUAUGAAAAUUAAGAUUACAAAUUAAAGCCUGGCUAUCCUGGAGUUUUCCAGUUCAUCAGCCAUCCAAUAAAAAUGAUGUCAAGCCUGUAUGCAUAAUUCCCGGAAGAUUACUUUCGUCCUUACAGCUAAGCCCUGUCCCUGAUAUGAAAGAUCUCUAUCCACUUUUAUUGAAAUAAAGAACUAACAUCAUAAUCCCAAUAUUGAGGUAUAAUCUUCAUUAUCUCCUGACCCUCUUGAGGUUCCCCCAAUCUAUAUUACUUCAGAUUUGGUUUAUGUGUAAUCCUUAUGUAUUUACUUU
rnacentral:lncRNA from 10 species